UACUAAUUAUUAAUAGUUAUGUUCUUUAAAAUUAAAGAUUUUGGCGGUAUUUUAGUCUUUUCAAAGGAACCUGUUCUAUAAUUGAUAGUCCACGAUAAAUUGUACUUAUUUUAAAUAGCUUGUAUACCGUCGUAGUUAAAUAUUUUAAAAGAAUUUAAAUAUUUAAAAUUUUUUAUCAAGAAAAUAAAUCAGAUCAAGGUGCAGCUUAUAAAUGAGAAGAAAUGGGUUACAAUAAAUUUAUUUAAAUGGUAUAAAAAGUGAAAUUUUUUAUUAAAGUGGAUUUGAAAGUAAUUAAAAAUAGUUUUUUAAAAUGAUUUUAGCUCUAAAAUAUGU
rnacentral:rRNA from 1 species